AUUCAGUGUCACUGGCAAACUUAAUUGGUAUUCCUUCAAGUCCUGCAGCCAAGUUGUUAAUGAAUAUAGUAAAGAGAACUGGGCCUAAGAUGGAGGCCUGUGGAACCCCACUAGUGACAGGUCACCAGUAUGAUGUCACCCCAUUCACUGUGACCCUCUGUGUUCCACCCAUGAUCCAAUUGCUCACAUACACAUCCUGUCCCUAUCCAGCUGUGUGCUGGACAUUUUGUCCAGAAGGAUCCUGUGAGAGACAGUAUCGAAAGCUUUACUGAAAUCCAAAAAGAUUACAUCAACUGGCUUCUCUUGAUCGACUGUGUGGGUUACCUUGUCAUAAAGUAAAUCAGGUUGGAUAAGGAGUCUCCUCUCCUGAAGCUGUGCUGGCUCUGACCAAUGCCUGCAUUGUCCUUCAGAGACCAGUGGUGUCUCCACACAUAAGCUGCUGCUGGUGUCUGUUUGGAGUAGUUUCACUGAAGUUUUACACAGCAUUACAGAGAUAAUGGGUCCCCAUGCUGCUGCUUCAGUUGAGAUGGAUGCAGAGAUAAAGCUCCUGAUUGUGUCAUACUCUGUCCAUGCAGCUGCUUGGGCUUUUACUGCCUGAAUUUACUGCCUGUUUACAAACCAGAACUAACCUAAAUUCACAAAAUCUGACUGACUGACUGACUUGGAAGGUCAUCUCACCUUCCAAGAUGCCUGAGUGUCCUUGAACUGUGUCUCUUGAAAGAUACAAAUAUAAUUUAUCAGAGUUGAGACCGACUAGGCAGUCAAGUCUCACAAGGAAUAAGGCUGAUUCUUUCUGAAGAAAGAAAUCACAGCUAUGCACAAAAUUUAAAGCAAAGUUAGCUUUGACAGCAGCAUCCCUACUUCAAGAAUCAAGUUCACUACAGCUUAAAAUACUGUGCAACCCUAUUGAGUUGCUCAUCAUUCAAGUACAUGGGGCUUUUGGGGUAACAUUACAAGUGCCAGGUUACCACUGGGAAGUGACACUGUAUAUAUGAGUCACACUUUGUUUUGGAACUUCACAGCAGCAGUAAAUCAGAGGGACAUCUCCUCUUCCUCAAUACAAGAAACAGAGUUUUGUAUCACCAUCUUGUCAGCAAGGCAAAAACUUUGAUGAGGGAAAGAAUCUCCAAGACCUUUGGGAAGUUUGAAAUAACUUGAAAAGGUUCAUGCUGCCUAAUCACCAAGUGUUUAAAAAAGAUCAAAGCAAAAAGCCAACCACAGGUUCAGGUUAAUGCUUUUUAGAUUAAACUACUAAACACACAGAGAAGGGAUUAUUAAAAAAAAAAAUUCUCAUUUUACAUCAUGAACUAAUAAAGCUGCUUUGAAGUUCUGAUCACCAAAAAACUCACAGCAUUUAACAAGUUGCUAAAACACAAAUACCCAGCUGGUGUCAUAAAA